GACGAACGCUGGCGGCGUGCUUAACACAUGCAAGUCGAACGGAAAGGCCCUGCUCUUGUUGGUUGCUCGAUUGGCGAACGGGGGAGUAACACGUGAGUAACCUGCCCUUAUCUUUGGGAUAACUUCAGGAAACUGGGGCUAAUAUCGGAUAGGAUCUCUUGCUGCAUGGGGGUGGUUGGAAAAAUUCGGCGGUUGGGGAUGUACUCGCGGCUUAUCCGCUUGUUUGGGGGGUUGUGGCUUUCCCAGGCUUUGAGGGGUAGCCGGCCUGAGAGGGUGACCGGCGACAUUGGGACUGAGAUACGGCCCCGACUCCUACGGGAGGCAGCAGUGGGGAAUACUGAACGAUGGGCGGAAGCCUGAUGCAGAAACGCCGCGGGCGGGAUGACGGCCUUAGGGUUGUAAACCGCAUUCGCCUGUGACGAAGCGUGAGUGACGGUAAUGGGUACAGAAGCACAGGCUAACUACGUG
rnacentral:rRNA from 1 species